rnacentral:rRNA from 1 species
UACAGAGGGGGCGAGCGUUGUUCGGAAUUACUGGGCGUAAAGGGCGCGUAGGCGGCCUUCUAAGUCGAACGUGAAAUCCCCGGGCUCAACCCGGGACUGCGUCCGAUACUGGGAGGCUUGAAUCCGGGAGAGGGAUGCAGAAUUCCAGGUGUAGCGGGUGAAAUGCGUGAGAUAUCUGGAGGAAUACCGGUGGCGAAGGCGACACGCUGGGCCGUACCUGACACUGAUGCGCGACAGCAUGGGGGAGCAAACAGG